CGCAGAGUUUGCAAUAGGCAGGUAACUCCUACCCCGGCAAGUUAGAGUUAGAGAACAUCGUUGUCAAAGAUUUUGCGAGCAGGAAUCCACUCCCCCGCCCUCUUUUUUAACCCACUCUUUCCGUUAAAGUCCAUACGAAGACGACGAAGGAAUGAAGCCGAGUAAUGGUACUAAGAUGCAGCAAUCUUUACCCACUCGGUUACACCAACCUUCCAACUCCGGUUGCCAGAAACUUCUUCUUCCUAUAAUGGAGAAUAACCACCUCAAAAGGGAAAAAGGAGAACUGUUUUUUAGGGGAACUUUGACCCUUUAAUGAAAACUCUUAACACGCUUUUCCUUCAAAUAUAUAUAAUUAUAAAAAGGGUCACUUUUUUAUACAGCCUUAAAAAGAAACAAGUCUACGGAGUAUUAUCAGAGUCCGAUGCCCCGCAAAUUCAUCGCAGGUGCUAGAAUGGUCAUUGUUUAACUGCUACGAAAUAACCAGACAAACCCCCCGUAUUACUUUUACCAACA
rnacentral:lncRNA from 1 species